GCCAGCUGCCCAGGCCGCGCAACAUGGCUCAGCUGAGGCGGCGGCCGCGCUGGGGCCGGGCCGGCGCCGCUGCGGCCCCGCUGCGCGCCGCUUCCGCGUGCGCCACUUCCGCCGGCAGCGAGGCCGCGGCGGGGCCCGGCCGCAGCGGGGCUGUCGCGCCGGGAGUGGCCCCGGCGGGCGUGGUGCCGGCCGGUGUGUGCCCAGCGGGGCCGUCCCGUGUCCCCCGGACCCGUGCGUGCCCGUCCCCGUUGCCGGGGCUGCGCUGGGAGGCGCGGUACCUGCAGGGGCCGCGCCCCUGGCAGGUGCGCUCGGGCUCGGCUCUCCUGCUCUGCGCUGCCGGGCUCUGGUCGGAGCAGCCGCCUCUGACACCUACAUUUCCAGCUCAAGGUCUGUUCAUGUGUGCUGAUUUUCCAAUGAAGUACAUCCUGGUGACCGGCGGUGUCAUCUCAGGCAUUGGCAAAGGGAUCAUUGCAAGCAGCAUUGGCACCAUUCUGAAAUCAUGUGGUCUACGUGUCACUGCAAUCAAAAUUGAUCCUUACAUAAACAUAGAUGCUGGAACCUUUUCACCAUAUGAACAUGGUGAAGUUUUUGUAUUAAAUGAUGGUGGAGAAGUUGACUUAGAUUUGGGAAAUUAUGAGAGAUUUUUGGACAUCAGUCUCUAUAAAGAUAACAAUAUCACCACUGGAAAGAUAUAUCAGCAUGUUAUUAAUAAAGAAAGACAUGGUGAUUAUCUGGGAAAAACCGUUCAAGUCGUUCCACACAUUACUGAUGCAGUUCAGGAAUGGGUAAUGAAUCAGGCAAAAGUUCCUGUGGAUGAUGACAAAAGAGAGCCACAAAUCUGUGUAAUUGAGCUGGGUGGAACCAUUGGCGAUAUUGAAGGAAUGCCAUUUGUUGAAGCAUUUAGACAGUUUCAGUUCAAAGCAAAAAGAGAGAACUUCUGUAAUAUCCAUGUUAGCCUAGUACCGCAGCCUAAUGCUACUGGUGAACAGAAGACAAAACCAACACAGAACAGUGUUCGAGCACUGAGGGGUCUAGGCUUGUCUCCAGAUUUGAUAGUCUGCAGAAGUGCAAAGCCUAUAGAGAUGGCUGUGAAAGAGAAGAUUUCUAUGUUUUGUCAUGUGGAGCCUGAGCAGGUGAUAUUUAUUCAUGAUGUUUCUUCUACUUACCGAGUACCAAUCCUGUUGGAGGAGCAAGGCAUCAUUAAGUAUUUUAAGCAGAGGCUAAAUUUACCUAUUGAUGACCAGCCAAGUGAUCUUCUAAUGAAAUGGAAGAAAAUGGCUUGCAGAUAUGAAAGGUUGCUGAAGGUGUGUUCCAUAGCUCUUGUGGGCAAGUACACAAAGCUAAGUGACUGCUAUGCAUCUGUUUUCAAAGCUCUGGAACACUCUGCACUGGCAAUUAAUUACAAACUGGAUUUAAUGUACAUCGAUUCAACAGAACUUGAACGUUCUAUGGAAGCAGAGAACUCAGUGAAAUAUCACCAGGCAUGGCACAAACUGUGCAAAGCAGAUGGCAUUCUGGUCCCAGGAGGUUUUGGAAUUAGGGGAACAGAAGGCAAACUCCAAGCUAUCUCCUGGGCAAGAACCAAGAAAAAGCCUUUUCUUGGAGUUUGCCUGGGAAUGCAGUUAGCAGUUGUGGAAUUUGCAAGAAACUGUUUGAAUUGGGAAGAUGCAAAUUCUACAGAAUUUGACCCAGACACAAAAAACCCAGUUGUUAUUGACAUGCCAGAACACAAUCCUGGAGAUAUGGGAGGAACAAUGAGACUGGGGAAGAGGAGGACUGUUUUUAAAACUGAAAAUUCUGUUUUAAGGAAGCUGUAUGGUGAUGAAAUGUUUGUAGAGGAGCGACACAGGCAUCGAUAUGAGGUGAACCCAGAAUUGACUCACUUCUUUGAAGGGAAAGGUUUGAAAUUUGUUGGCCAUGAUACAGAAGGGAACAGGAUGGAAAUUAUCGAACUGGAGAAUCACCCAUAUUUUGUGGGAGUUCAAUUCCACCCAGAAUUUUCCUCAAGACCUAUGAAACCUUCACCUCCUUACCUUGGACUUUUGCUAGCAGCAACUGGGACACUGAAUGCAUACCUGCAGCGUGGAUGUAAAUUGUCUCCAAGAAAAAAUGACAGCUACAGUGACCUAAGUGAUGACAGCUCUCCAGAAAAAGAGUUUCCUUAUUCUGACACAAGCUGAAAUGAUUAUAUGAGAGCACAGAAAUGGAUGAUGCUAUUGAGCAUUUAAUUGUUUUCCUCUUCUGCUGCUUAACUCUGAAAUUGAGAUGUUAAAGUCUGAAAACUUGGGAACAGGACAAUAUUGAAUAGAAGAAAGUAGAAGAGUAAGCUGCUUGCAGUUCUCAUACUGUUUCUUCCUCUGCUGUGUUCAAUAAUUCUCAUUGCAGAUGACAGUUUUACUGUUCUGUAGCACAAACUGCUCUGUGUAAAUGCUGUUUCCAAAGUUACCAAACAGUUGUGCACCUUAGCUGUUAAUCAUUAUUAUCUUGUCCUAUAUUUCAGAGUGAUCUCAGGUGAAUAUGUAUCAAUUCACUAGUUCACAGCUUUCUUGAUUUGAGGAAAGAUUUGACUGAUUUCAGUUUGCCUUGGAACAGGGAGAAUAAAUGCAUGAGCUCUUGGGAAUGAGGCAGGGAAUGCACUAAAGCAUUUAAAAGAAAAUUGUCUUUCUCCUGAGCAGUAGAAAACCAUUUCAGGUUUUUUUUCCUAUUAAGGUUGUAUAUAUAUUUUUAUUACUUUUUUUUUGCUGUUCAAUAUGUACAAAUGAAAAAUGGUUGCUGUACCUCAGCUCUAUGUGAUUAUAGUAAUUAAUGUUGGAUACAAGUUUUUUCACUUUGCUUUUAUAAGCGAUUUGAUUUCACAUAAAUUCAUUUGCUGUAUUUCUCCUGGAAGUCUGAUAAUGCUGAACAUAAUUCUGACCUACAAAAUUACAGAAGUGAUAUUAGAAGGUGGUUUCAUAUUUGUAUUCUGUAAGAGAGAAAGUAAAUACGUUCAUAUAUUAAACUCCAGUUUUAACACUUUUGUGAAAGUUGUAGAAAAACCAGUCAUAAAUCUGGGGUGUUAUCUGGGCUCCAGCUGUGCCUCACUCAGUUAGCUGCAGUAAAUAAGUGUGAAACAAAUUAAGUAAGGUUCACCCUUGUUUUCCUGCAUUCUGUGACCACUCCGUCAUCGUAGCACUUAUUCCCAAAUGGAAUGGAAUGAUGUGUUUUAAUUUAGAAAUCACAAGUUAUUCCACUGCAUCUCAACUCAGGCAGCCCUGCAAAGCCAGGGCUGGAGCCUGAACCACUGGGACAGAAGAGGAAGGUGAGAGGUGCUGCUCUGGGUGUAAGGCAGCAUUAAGGUGCAAGGGGUGUAAGGAUCCCAUAAGCAUUGGGGCAGUAUCAAACCUGUCACAGAAGCUGAACCUGAGCUAUGUAACUGAUGGGCUCAAGAUGCUUGGGGAACACUUUCCUAUAAAGAAAAAUUCUGAAUUUUGAGAGUUGCGUUUCAUUUUGGUUUUGGGUAAAGUGUCUUCUUUAAUUCAUCAAAAGUCAAUAUCUGCACAAAAAUAAGAAGCACCAUGUUCCUUAUUACAGCUUUGUAAAACAUCAAGUUUGAGGGCUGUGCAUUGCUCUAGAAAAGCUCAGGUUACACAGCAAAUCUGUCCUUUCACUAAAAGAAGCUUUAAUGGUGAUGAAAUAUAAAAUGUAUUUUUAUGGCUGCACUUUCCUGAAGUAGUUUGUGAAUAUGUGCCUUAGAAAUAAUGACAGCAGAAUUGGUGUCACUGUAUGUCUUUCCCAAGAGACACUGGCCACUGCUUUGUGGAAAGUGAAGAAUUUCCUACAAUUCUCUGUAAUGUGCAAAUGUAUUUUCAAAACAUUUUCAAUAAAUCGUGUUAUUUGGAA